ACCCUUCCCCUUCCCCAUCUCAAAUGCUCCACACUCACUUCUCUCUCUCCCACUAUCCCUCUUCUUCUUCCCUCAAGACACCAUCACCAUGAAAAAAAGACGAAAAAGAAUCAAGCCCCAUCCCCACUCCCCUCUCCUUCUGUAACUACUCAGUUUAUGCCUCCACUUCCCUUCAUUUUCUUCUUCUUCUUCUUCUGUACUUCAAAAUCCAACAACAAAAUGUGUUAUGUAGGGAAAGCAACAAAGAUCUUCAUUUUCAUUGUGACAGCACUUGUAAUUCUUGGUCUUGUCUUGGUAUUUGGUCUCUUACGCCACCACCUUCAUAAAUCACAAAACUGCGCUGAUGAUUCCUGUCAAUCUCCUAACUUACCCUUCCCUACUCCUCCUCUUACUGUGCCUACUGGGCUGACCCCACCUAGUCCAAUGGGCUUCUCACCGCCCAGCCCACCAGAUUCUGGGUCCACCCCACCACCAAGCCCACCGGACACUGGCACAACUCCUCUUCUGCUGUCACCGCCACCACCUCCUCUUCCGCUCCCACCGCCACCUCUUCCUCCUCCUGCUGCUCCAGUUACAAAUGGGGCUCCACCACCGACUAAUAAUCCGCCGAGCAGUACUGUGUUGAUCACUCCAGGUCCUCUGCAUGCUUAGCUGUUCUUUACUAUCAUGACCUUUUCUUUUCCUUGUAUUUUGUAUUUAAUUUUUAGUGUCAUUUUUUUAGGAUAAUUUUUUUUUUGGGAUUGUACAGGGAUGGUUGUUCGGGUUGUGGAUUGUAACGAAGGAUUGUGAUUAUUAUAAUUUCUUGAGCAUUAGUGAAUUCACAGAGCUGUCCCUGAAUUCUUAGAAAAAAAACAAUAAUCAUGUUCUGGCUUUUUCCCCCUUGAGAAUGUUGUUUUUCUUUUAAUAUCUAGCAGUAUACUAACAAUUUAGUUAAAUAUUGUAAAUUUAUUUGAUAAUUAUUAUCGCGUUGUGAAAACUGAAAAGAAAUGUUUUGCACUUGUGGUAAAUCGAGUCAAAAUGGAGCCUUAAAAGUCGUGAAAGGUUUAGAAUCCGAGGCAAGUUGUCUUCACUAGUCAAAGAGGAGAGAAAAAGGCACUGCCAGUCUGCCAUGACAGGUGGUGUCUCCUAUGGUUUCUUGACGAUCACUUGCUCAGGUUACUAUUGGAUGUCUGGUGAUGUCAAGGAAUCUGCAAUGGAAAAGGUUGCCAUUAAAAAGUCAUUGAUGGUUACGCUCUGCACUCUGCAGAUAUUCUUCGUCUCCUUUUUUUAAUGUUCUUUCAUGGGUUCUUUUUGGCACAGGUUUCGCCUUCCCAUGUGAGGCCAGACAUGUGUUUCAUUGACAUGGUGAUGUGUUGGAGUCACUUGCAAGCUCUUAGGUCAUGGAGGUUUCAGUAUCAUCAUAGUUGUAACAGUGUUAUGGUGAUGUCUUUGAAAGCGAUUUUAAUGUGGAUUAAUAUUUUUUUAUUGGUUUUGAUGGAUUGCUAUUAAAAAUAAAAAAAUAUAAAAAAUUUCUAUUAAUAUAUUUUUAAGUGAAUAUUUUAAAAAAAAAAUUAC
rnacentral:lncRNA from 1 species